AGAGUUUGAUCCUGGCUCAGAGCGAACGCUGGCGGCAGGCCUAACACAUGCAAGUCGAGCGAACUCUUCGGAGUUAGUGGCGGACGGGUGAGUAACACGUGGGAACGUGCCUUUAGGUUCGGAAUAACUCAGGGAAACUUGUGCUAAUACCGAAUGUGCCCUUCGGGGGAAAGAUUUAUCGCCUUUAGAGCGGCCCGCGUCUGAUUAGCUAGUUGGUGAGGUAAUGGCUCACCAAGGCGACGAUCAGUAGCUGGUCUGAGAGGAUGAUCAGCCACAUUGGGACUGAGACACGGCCCAAACUCCUACGGGAGGCAGCAGUGGGGAAUCUUGCGCAAUGGGCGAAAGCCUGACGCAGCCAUGCCGCGUGAAUGAUGAAGGUCUUAGGAUUGUAAAAUUCUUUCACCGGGGACGAUAAUGACGGUACCCGGAGAAGAAGCCCCGGCUAACUUCGUGCCAGCAGCCGCGGUAAUACGAAGGGGGCUAGCGUUGCUCGGAAUUACUGGGCGUAAAGGGAGCGUAGGCGGACAUUUAAGUCAGGGGUGAAAUCCCGGGGCUCAACCUCGGAAUUGCCUUUGAUACUGGGUGUCUUGAGUAUGAGAGAGGUGUGUGGAACUCCGAGUGUAGAGGUGAAAUUCGUAGAUAUUCGGAAGAACACCAGUGGCGAAGGCGACACACUGGCUCAUUAC
rnacentral:rRNA from 1 species